rnacentral:rRNA from 1 species
GAUGAACGCUGGCGGCGUGCCUAAUACAUGCAAGUCGAGCGGACGGACGAGACUCUUGCUUCUUUGUUGUUAGGGGCGGACGUGUGAGUAACGCGUGUAUAACCUACCUAUAAGACUGAUAUAACUUCGGAAAACGGGAGCUAAUAGCGUAUAAUAUUUUGAAGCGCAGGGUUGAAAAGUGAAAUACGGUCUUGCGGUCACUUAUAGAUGCAUCCGCGCUGCAUUAGCUAGUUGGUAAGGUAACGGCUUACCAAGGCAACGAUGCAUAGCCGACCUGCGAGGGUGGUCGGCCACAUGGGAAGGUGACCGCGCACAAGACUACUACGGGACGCAGCAGUAGGGAAUCUUCCGCAACGGGCGAAAAUAUGACGGAGCAACGCCGAGUCAGUGAUGACGGUCUCCGGUUCGUAAAGAUCUGUUAUUAGUGAAGAACAUAUGUGUACUUAACUGUGCACAUCUUGACGGUAAUUAGUAAGAAAGCACCGGCUAACUACGUG